CCAGACUCCUACGGGAGGCAGCAGUGGGGAAUAUUGGGCAAUGGGCGCAAGCCUUACCCAGCAAUACCGCGUGAGUGAAGAAGGUCUUCGGAUUGUAAAGCUCUUUGAUCAGGGGCGAACAGAUGACGGUACCUGAAGAACAAGCCCCGGCUAACUACGUGCCAGCAGCCGCGGUAAUACGUAGGGGGCAAGCGUUAUCCGGAUUCACUGGGUGUAAAGGGAGCGUAGACGGCGACGCAAGUCUGGAGUGAAAGCCCGGGGCCCAACCCCGGGACUGCUCUGGAAACUGCGUCGCUGGAGUACGGGAGGGGCAGGCGGAAUUCCUGGUGUAGCGGUGAAAUGCGUAGAUAUCAGGAGGAACACCGGCGGCGAAGGCGGCCUGCUGGACCGCGACUGACGUUGAGGCUCGAAAGCGUGGGGAGCGAACAGGAUUAGAUACCCUUGUAU
rnacentral:rRNA from 1 species